AAUGUCUGUUAAACAACACCACGUGUAUUACAGCAGAGGUCCAGGAUUAUCGUGGUCCAUGCCUGGCACUUCAAGACUCUACACUAACUUUGGGGCUUCAAGGUGCAAGUAAGGAUUUGGUUCUAAGUUGACAAAAGGUUUCCUUCUGCUCAUAUCUGAAACUUUACCAAAAAUGAAUACGUAAACAGGCUUAGAGUCUGAGGCUCUAAGCGGGAACUCUGAGGACAACAACGCUUUUACUUCAGUUAGUUCACAAAGUAAAAAGAAAGCAGAAAACAAACAUUGGCAGUGACUAUGAGCCGAAAUCUGUAAUACAGCCGAUUCAACGUGAAAAAUCAACAUACAGGGCCUCAGUAACACGCUUUGAUUUCCCUUUGAGUCACCGAUGCUCUGCUGGAAGAAUGAAACACCGGGUCACUGACAUUUCCUCAGUUGGUAUUUGGAUGAUGGUGCUGAAGAGCUUGGAGUGGUCACAGCAACCUUGACGAGCACAGCAUGCGGCCAGCUGCAGGCAGCUGUGAGCUGGUAAAACCUGCCUGCCCAACAAACACAGUGAACAGCAAAAAAGAGUUUUUUCCUGUCAAGGACACAUCAAGCA